UCCCUGGUGGUCCAGUGGUUAAGACUCCUCAUUUCCAAUUUGGAGGGUGCAGGUUCAAUCCCUGGUCAGGGAA
rnacentral:tRNA from 1 species